GACGGCAGGAAGGGGACGAGGCCGGGAGCCGCGCUCCGCAGGCAGGGCCGUGCUCUGGAAGCUCCAGUCCGUCUCCACAGUCCCCGCUGCACCAAAAACCCACUCCGUGCACCUCAUGGCCCCUCUUCACCCUACGACACCGAGUUGCCCUACCGCCGCCUCCAGGAAGUCCUCCGGGCCUCUGGCUGGGCCAGGCGCCUCCGCUGAGCUCCAAAAAGGCCCGAGGAACCCUGUCCACAUUCUCAGUCGCUGUUUCCUCCUCCCAAGACAGUGGAUGAACGUGUAUGACAUUCAGGAGUUUCCGCUGUGGCUCGGUGGGUUAUAACCCUGACUAGAAUCCAUGAGGAUGCCAGUUCGAUCCCUGGCCUUGCUCAGGGGGUUAAGGAUUUGGCAUUGCUGUAGGCUGUGGUGUAGGCUGGCAGCUGCAGCUCCAAUUCGACCCCUAGCCUGGGAACUUCCAUAUGCCACGGGUGCAGCCAUAAGAAGACAAAAACAAAAAAAAAAAAAAGGAGAAGAAGAAAAGGUGUGACUUUCAGACGUGGUGACCCCUCAGCCACCAUGCACCAGUCUGCAUCUCCUUCUGCAGAACCACCACACAGCGGUCACGCUUGGGAAGGUUAGUGUCUCAUCAGUGUCACCGUCCAGGGAACACUCCGUGCUUCAACUUUCUCUCACGGUCACGUGAGGUAGCACCGCGUUCGUGAGAGUGGCUUUGUUUUUACCUAAGAAUUCAUCCAGGGUCACUCAGUGCAUUUAGUUCUUAUGUCUUUUUUGGUUUUGCGUUUCCAUUUGUGACAUUAACAUUCUCGGCGCAUCCAGGCCAGUUGGUUUGCAGAAAGUCCUUCAGCUUGGAUGUGUCUGAUUGUUUCCUGUUGAGUAGAUUCUGGUUAAGACUUUUUGGCCAGGACCUGUCCAUAGAUGACACCGGGCCCUUCUCAGAGCCACGACUCCAGGAAGCACAUGAAGUCAAUCUGUCUCAUUAUUGGUGACAUUAUGUUUGAUUAUUUUAAGUUGUUGUCCCCAGAUUUCUGCUUAUCUUGUUCCCUAAAAAAUACCAUUCUACGGUUUUAACAUCUUUUAAGAUGGUUCUUUCCUCUUCUUCUUCUUCUUUUGUUUUUUUCUCUUUUUAGAGCCAAACUUGCAGCAUAUGGAAGUUCCAGGACUAGGGGCUGAAUCAGAGCUGCAGCCGCUGGCCUAAGUCACAGCCACAGCAAUGCCAGAUCUGAAUCGCAUCAUUGACCUUUGCCAUGGCUUGUUGCAAUGCUAGGUCCUUAACUCACUGCGCAAGGCCAGGGAUUGAUCCUGUAUCGGUGCGGCCACUAUGUCUGGUUCUUAACCUGCUGACCCACAAUGGGAACACCUGAGAUGGUCCUUUUUUGAGUCAGUUAUAAACCAUGAUGCUUAUAAAAUGGAGAUUUUUUUUUUCCCACACCCACAGCAUAUGAAAGUUCUAGGGCCAGGGACUGAGUCUGAGCUGGAGCUGCAAAUCCAAGCUGGAGCUGCGACCUAUGCCACAGCUGUAGCAACACCAGAUCCUUAACCUACUGUGCCGGGCUGGGGAUGGAACUGGCACCUCCACAAAGACAAGUGAGAUCAUUAACCCACUGUGCCAAAGCAGGAACUCCUAAAAUGAAGAUUUUUGGUUUGGUUUGGUUUUGUCUUUCCUUCUACUUUUCUUUUUGUCUUUUGUCCUUUUAGGGCUGCAGCAUGGCAUAUGGGAUUUCCCCAGGGGCUCUAAUCAGAGCUGGCCUACACAAGAGCCACAGCAAUGCCAGAUCUGAGCUGCAUCUGCAACCUACACCAUAGCUCUUGGCAACGCCGGAUCCUUAACCCACCGAGCAAGGCCAGGGGUCAAACCCGCACCUCGUGGUUGCUAGUCAGAUUCAUUUCCACCACGCCACGAGGGGAACUCCUUCUUCUACAUUUAUUCAUUGGUAUUCUUCUUUAAAGAAUUUUCCCUUUUCAGAGUCCUAGCGGUUAAGGAUCCAGGUUUGUCUGGCUUGGGUCACUGCUGUGGUGCAGGUUUGAUCCCUGGCCUGGACAAAAGAAAGAAAGAGAAAGAGAAAGAAAGAAAGAGAAAGAAAGAAAGAGANAGGGAGGGAGGGAGGGAGGGAGGGAGGGAGGGAGGGAGAAAGAGAGGGAGAAAGACUGAGCACUGGGAGGAGUUCCCUUUGUGGCACAGCAGAGAUGAAUCCAACUAGUAUCCAUAAGGAUGCAGGUUUGAUCCCUGGCCCCGCUCAGUGGGCUGGGGAUUUGGUGUUGCUGUGAGCUGUGGUGUAGUUUGCAGACACAGCUUGGGAUCCCACGUUGCUGUGGCUAUGACUGUGGCCAGCAGCUGUAGCUCCAAUUUGACCCCUAACCUGGGAACUUCCAUGUGCUGUGGGUGUGGCCCUAAAAAGCCAAAAAAAAAAAAAUAAAAGAAAAGAAGAGAAAAGAAAAGUGCGUUGG
rnacentral:lncRNA from 1 species